rnacentral:rRNA from 1 species
GAUGAACGCUAGCGGCAGGCUUAACACAUGCAAGUCGAGGGGCAGCACGGGUAGCAAUACCUGGUGGCGACCGGCGCAAGGGUGCGUAACGCGUGAGCAACAUGCCCUAUACAGGGGGAUAAUCCAGGGAAACUUGGUCUAAUAUCCCAUAGCAUUUAGAGGAGGCAUCUUCACUAAAUUAAAGCUUCGGUGGUAUAGGAUUGGCUCGCGUGACAUUAGCUAGAUGGUGAGGUAACGGCCCACCAUGGCUAUGAUGUCCAGGGGUUCUGAGAGGAAGACCCCCCACACUGGGACUGAGACACGGCCCAGACUCCUACGGGAGGCAGCAGUGAGGAAUAUUGGACAAUGGAUGGAAAUCUGAUCCAGCCAUGCCGCGUGCAGGAAGACGGCCCUAUGGGUUGUAAACUGCUUUUAUAUGGGAGCAAUAAGGUUUACGAGUAGACCGAUGAGAGUACCAUAUGAAUAAGCAUCGGCUAAC